CGGAUCUCUCUGGCUUUCAAUCCCCAUUUCAUUUGUUCUUUGUAAGGCAAUAGUGAACAAAGUAUGCUGAGGUUCGGCAUAAGCAGCCGCCUAGAACACAGAUCCGGGAUGGCAAUUUCCAGUUCCCCCGCUGGAAGGAGGGCGAUUCGUCUCCUGUGCAGCCAAAGCGACAGCUGUCAAAGUCGCAGGGGCUCCUGUGAGCCAGAACCUAAAAGGCUACGUGUGCCUCCUGGCCAUUCAAAUUGUCAGGUUUAGGGACAGAAGUACCCAAACCACAAGUUCUCAGUACUAUGUGAAAAAUGGCUCCUUGCAAGUCAA